rnacentral:rRNA from 1 species
UACGUAGGGGGCAAGCGUUGUCCGGAAUUACUGGGCGUAAAGAGCUCGUAGGUGGUUUGUCGCGUUGUUCGUGAAAUGCCACAGCUUAACUGUGGGCGUGCGGGCGAUACGGGCAGACUGGAGUACUGCAGGGGAGACUGGAAUUCCUGGUGUAGCGGUGGAAUGCGCAGAUAUCAGGAGGAACACCGGUGGCGAAGGCAGGUCUCUGGGCCACUACUGACGCUGAGAAGCGAAAGCAUGGGGAGCGAACAGG